AUGGUGUUCUCGAACUUGGCCCGGUCACUAGCCGUCCACCCGAGGAAGAAGGCCCUCCAGCCAAUACCCCAAGGGAAGGGGUUGACGUUGGAGCUGGAGCUAGAGCUCAUGGGGAGCAAUGAGAUGGGCACGGAGGUUGACAACAAGGGCAAGCAGCCCCUUCACCCAAUGCCCGACGAGGUUGUGCUGCCGCCCACCGCCGAGGAAGACCCGAAGACGCCUGAGGGUGGCGACAACGAGGGCAUAGAGGAACCCCCCAGCAACAAGCGCCGCAACUACGACCACUACCAUCAGGAGGAUGGCCUAACUCACUUCUGCAAGGUCAUCCUUGCACCGAAGCUUGAGUGCAUCCCCAUGCCCCUGGACUUCACCAAGCACUUCGUCGCGGUGCCGACGGAGGUGACCCUGGAUCAGGGUUGGGCCACCUACGCAGCCGUUCAUCAGAUCAAGAUCGGCUACAUGGUGACGUUCAAGCUCCUCACUCCCAACACCCUCAACGUCAUCAUCUUCGACGACGAUGGCAUUGAUGUCGUCAACAAGUGCGGGAAGCACGACGAAGCCUUCGCCGCCAAGGAGUAG
rnacentral:rRNA from 1 species